rnacentral:rRNA from 1 species
CAGCCGCCGCGGUAAUACGAAGGGUGCAAGCGUUGUCCGGAAUUAUUGGGCGUAAAGGGCUCGCAGGCGGUUUCUUAAGUCUGAUGUGAAAGCCCCCGGCUAACCGGGGAGGGUCAUUGGAAACUGGGAAACUUGAGUGCAGAAGAGGAGAGUGGAAUUCCACGUGUAGCGGUGAAAUGCGUAGAGAUGUGGAGGAACACCAGUGGCGAAGGCGACUCUCUGGUCUGUAACUGACGCUGAGGAGCGAAAGCGUGGGGAGCGAACAGGAUUAGAUACCCGAGUAGUCCCUGUCUCUUAUACC